UAGGGAAUCUUCGGCAAUGGGGGGAACCCUGACCGAGCAACGCCGCGUGAGUGAAGAAGGUUUUCGGAUCGUAAAGCUCUGUUGUUAAGGAAGAACGAGUGUGAGAAUGGAAAGUUCAUGCUGUGACGGUACUUAACCAGAAAGGGACGGCUAACUACGUGCCAGCAGCCGCGGUAAUACGUAGGUCCCGAGCGUUGUCCGGAUUUAUUGGGCGUAAAGCGAGCGCAGGCGGUUAGAAAAGUCUGAAGUGAAAGGCAGUGGCUCAACCAUUGUAGGCUUUGGAAACUGUUUAACUUGAGUGCAGAAGGGGAGAGUGGAAUUCCAUGUGUAGCGGUGAAAUGCGUAGAUAUAUGGGGGAACACCGGUGGCGAAAGCGGCUCUCUGGUCUGUAACUGACGCUGAGGCUCGAAAGCGUGGGUAGCAAACAGG
rnacentral:rRNA from 1 species